GAAUUGACGGAGCAAGUGCUUACUGUAACUUCCUAAAAUCUAUACUAAGCCUUCCAAGGAUAAGUGUAAUCAGUUCGACCACUUUUCCCUUUGCAUUUGCAAAUAUCCUGCUUCUGUGAUGUGAUUAGCAGCAUCCUCUCCUUUGUUUUCUGUAAAAGGUAACCAUGUAAAGUGAGCCUGUGCAUGGUAAAUGAGAACCAUCCUCAAUAUAAUGUGCCCAGAAAAGCAAUAAAAGCUUGUCAAGACAAGCGUCACUGUGUUCUCCUCUUGAGAGUGGCAAAGGUCCUCCAAGU